CGAGGACUGUAACAGAGCGAAUCAUUACUGUCAACCAGACAACAAGGACUACAGAAAUACGCUUAUUUAAAAGUUUUAUGUAAUCUGCAAUUGAACCCUAAAUCCCAUAAAAAAUAUUCACACGUUCAGCAAAGUGGACCUAGUAAUUCAGCCUGAAUGGAAAACCCAAACAGGGGCAGGAGAGGUAGAGGAGCCAACCAUGUCGAUCACAGAAUAGGUGCUGAUGCUGGUCAGAGAGAAGAGGAAGGGAUAGCCAACC